rnacentral:lncRNA from 1 species
AUCAAAGUAGUCCUGCAGUAAUACAACAACACACCAAAAAUCAGUUAAUUCCACAACAAACUUUUCAGCUAAGUGAGUUACUGUAGUGAAAGUUUUCAUACCAACAGUAGAAUUUUCAAAAUGAGGAGAAUUGGGAGAGGGACCACCAAGCUGGGGUGAGGACAAAAAACUCCAAGCACCCUCUGUACAGGUACUUCCCACUACUCUGAGGAAGCUCAGCAACACAGCAGGAAACAGAGCAGAGAGCAGAGGAGAUGAGAGAUAUAUAAUAGGAGGCCACUGUUCAUGAGAGGAGAGGAGAAAAAAAACCCUAAUUUCUAAAGGCUGGAGGCGGCCACUGUUCACAGAGAAACAAGGAGGCGAAAAUCUGAGAGGAAACCCUAAAAAUCCCAAGAGUGAUUACCUGGAGGCCAGCGUUUGCACGUCCUACACCGCCACCACUGCGACACUUUGUAAGGUUUCUUUCUUUCUCUCUAUCUUUCUCAUAUGCUUGUUGUCUGAAAAUAUUUGUGAGAGUUGAGGGAGUUCGAUUCACUGAGUUGGAGAGCGUGAGAGGGUUUUGUUGAUGUCAUAAGAAGGAUGAGUUUCGAUCAUAUGCUUGUUGUCUGAAAAUAUUUGUGAGAGUUGAGGGAGUUCGAUUCACUGAGUUGGAGAGCGUGAGAGGGUUUUGUUGAUGUCAUAAGAAGGAUGAGUUUCGAGUGCGUGAGAUUACCAUUGCUAGCUAAGGUUGAGUUCGCAAGGUGAGAGAGAGUGAGGAAGACGAUGGAGACGAGCUUCUGCUGUUUCCAUUUCUUUUUUUCUUUUUUUGUUUUUUUUUAAUUUUUAAUUAUUUCCUUUUACUAUUUAAUUUAUUUUGUUCUUUUUAAUACAAAAAAAUCAGAAAAUGUUUAUAUGUUCUUAUUUUCUUUUAUUAUUAUUUUUAUUUUUUAUUUUUUAUUUAGCUUAAUUUGUUUUUUAACAGAAAUAAUAAAAAAACCAUAAAAAUGUUUAUUUUGUUUUUUUUAUUUUGUUAUAAAUUUGUCAGCCCAGUUCAUAUAUUUAUGGUAGUACCUCAAUAGCAGAUAUUGUUGAGUGGCCUAGUGGAGAGAUGACAGUUGCAUAAUAUUAGGUGGGGAGGGUUCAAUACUCAUGAGUGGCAUUUUUUGGCAUUUUAUUUCUCUUAGUUAUAUUAUUUUUCUUUUAGCAUUUUUUAUUCUUUUAGUAUUUUGUUAAUAUCUUUUUUUUUAUGUCUAUUAUAAUUUCAUUUGUUAGUAAAUGCAUAGUUCAAAAACCAUUUUUUCAAACUAUAAAAAUCAUACUUUCUCGAUUUAAUAUCGAGCCCAUUUUUUACACCCUUGUAAGUUGAUUGCUUUUUAAGCAUCGCCAUCAACCUCACAUAGCUUACUCUUGGGCUUUCUUACAAUGAGCCGGUUCCCUUACACUUACACUCAUACAUUGUUUAAUGCUUCAUUAUUUCAU